rnacentral:tRNA from 1 species
GGGAGAGCACCUGCCUUACAAGCAGGGGGUCACAGGUUCGAUCCCUGUAACGUCCA